UACGAAGGGGGCGAGCGUUGUUCGGAAUUACUGGGCGUAAAGGGCGCGUAGGCGGUGUGUCAAGUCAGGCGUGAAAGCCCCGGGCUCAACCUGGGAACGGCGCUUGAGACUGGCACGCUCGAGUUCGGGAGAGGAUGGUGGAAUUCCCAGUGUAGAGGUGAAAUUCGUAGAUAUUGGGAAGAACACCAGUGGCGAAGGCGGCUAACUGGUCCAGAUCUGACGCUGAGGUGCGAAAGCGUGGGGAGCAAACAGG
rnacentral:rRNA from 1 species